AGUCGCCUCCGCAUUGCAACAAUCGCCUGACCCUCUCCUCUGAGUCGAUCUCCCCUCCGAUCUCAUCUCCGCCAUUGACAAAGAGCCCAAGGUGUGCUGGGAGAAAUUUGCAAGGUACUUUGAGGUGGAGCUGAAGGAGGUGAAGCUAAGAGAUGGAUACAAUGUAAUGGACCCUCAAAAAGCAGUUUAAAUGAACAGAAUGAUGGAGGCCCAGAUUGUUUCACGUACUGUCAAGUCUCAUGGAGUUAGAGUUGCAAGGACACACAUGCAUGAUUGGCUGAUACUUUUGCUUCUUGUGGUGAUAAUUGCCAUACUCUUGCUUAUGCAACCAUUUUACCGUUUUGUUGGGAAGGAUAUGAUGAUUGAUCUUAGAUACCCCUUGAAAAGUAAUAGAGUACCCUUUUGGGCAGUUCUAGUUGGCAAUAAAGAAGACAUAUAUAAGCCAACAAAUCUUCAAUGAAUUGAUAUUUUCUCAUGGUCUUACUGAUGCUUCUGUGGAAGCUUUCCGAGAUUGUGCUCUACAGGUAAGACUUUGUGGGUGGUUU